rnacentral:rRNA from 1 species
GACAGAGGAUGCAAGCGUUAUCCGGAAUGAUUGGGCGUAAAGCGUCUGUAGGUGGCUUUUUAAGUCCGCCGUCAAAUCCCAGGGCUCAACCCCUGGACAGGCGGUGGAAAACUACCCAAGCUGGAGUACGGUAGGGGCAGAGGGAAUUUCCGGUGGAGCAGUGAAAUGCGUAGAGAUGUGGAGGAACACCGAUGGCGAAGGCAGCCCCCUGGGGUCGAAGACGCUGACGCUCAUGCAACGAAAGCGUGGGGAGCAACAGGUUAGAGACCCGUGAUGAAGUCC